GAUGAAGAACGUAGCGAAAUGCGAUAACUAAUGUGAAUUGCAGAAUUCCGUGAAUCAUCGAGUCUUUGAACGCACAUUGCGCCCCCUGGUAUUCCGGGGGGCAUGCCUGUCCGAGCGUCAUUGCUGCCCAUCAAGCACGGCUUGUGUGUUGGGUCCUCGUCCCCCCCGAGGGACGUGCCCGAAAGGCAGCGGCGGCACCGCGUCCGGUCCUCGAGCGUAUGGGGCUUUGUCACCCGCUCUGCAGGCCCGGCCGGCGCUGGCCGACGCGAAAGCAACCAUUUUUUCUCCAGGUUGACCUCGGAUCAGGUAGGGAUACCCGCUGAACUUAAGCAUAUCAAUAAGCGGAGGA
rnacentral:misc_RNA from 1 species